AGCCUAUUGACCUCCAUUAAUAUAAAGCAAUGGAGAAAAUAUGGUCAUUUCACAGAGUAAUGAUAAGUUAUGAAAAAGUCAAUAGCAUGCUAGAGAGUUAAGUAAAGGGGAGUUUUUUGGUGUUCUGUUUGGUUGUUUUAAAUGCUGCUUUGCUUUUCGUUUUUUUUUUUGUUGUUGUUGUUUGUUCGUUUUUUUUCUGGUUUGCCCCCUUCCCUCUUGGUGGGUUUAGAGGAGCAGGCUGGGAGAGAGAACUGAAGGAGCGGAGGUGGCCGGGCCCCAUCAAGUGUCAGGAGGGAAAGUCUCCGCUUUCUCGACACUGGAACACCACCUUCCUCGGCUCCUCCCGCGCUCCCUUCGGGAUAACUUACCACCUGAACUCAAGUUCAACUCCCUCCGGCGCCAGCGUGCUGGGGGGCUCCGCGGGGAUCCAGGGACACGGAACCCGGCAGAACUCCCGUCUGGAUGGAGGUCCGCACACUCCCGGAUCUUCACGCGCUGUCUCCACGCUCCUUGGCGGGCAGCGGCGCAGCGACCCUGGCGCCCGGCGGGGAAAAGGCGACAGAUGUCAGCGGCGUCCGGCCAGGAAGCUGAGGCGCUGCCUCGUCGCUCGCUGGCCCGCGCGGGGCUCAGAAUGAGAGGCUCGGCGAAGUGAGCGUUCUGCCCAUCAAUCUUCGUCCGCUUCCCCCCGUGACGCUCUCACGCUUAGCUGUUCAUGUUACCAUUCUUCUCCGGCCAAGGAACGAGCCCUGAGACGCCUCCACAGCACCUGAGGGGCAGUCCCGUCAAUCUCCCGCGCACGUACGGGGCACGGAGGGCGGCGACACCGAAGUCCGUGCCCGGCUCGGGAAGUGGCUGAGGACGCCCGGAGGACGAGCGGAAGGUAAAGACGCGCUGCGCUUGCACCGGGCCCGCCGGCUGCCGCCAGCCUUCCGCCGAGACGUCGCUGGUGCCUGCCACGUGCGGAGCCCGGAGCCGGGGAAGGGAGGGCGCGCCGCCCCGGGGGUGGGCAACUCUGCGUGGCCUCCAGCUGCUAUAUAAACACACUCGGACGCCGACGGGAAGAGCAGCACAAGGACGAGCCAGGAGGCUUCGGCUCCCCACUACGCGGAUCCUCCCUGUCUCUGCCCGGGUUUUCUUUUCGGGGGAGGGGCUGGGAGGUUGCUGGGGGGCCACCUCAGACCCACAGGGACCGCGGCUUUCCAGGCAUCUCACCCCAAAGGUGCCCGGCCAGAGAUUCCGGAAGAUACCGCGGCGGCCGCAGGCGGGUUCACCCAGGAUUCGUCAAUGGUGCCGGCCAGAGCGCCACCAGCCGCGCGUGGCGACCGCGGGAGGCGCAGGCGACCCGGGGUUGGGCCCGUCCCGCCGACAGGGGUUCCCCUGGGCCGCGCGCCCCGCCGCUCGGGCCAGUGUUUUUGGACAAAUUGGGGACUAAGAACAUCUGGAAGCAGAAAAAUUGGAGAUAAGAACAAAAGAAGAGGGAAAAGAAAAAAUGGAAGUUGAAAGAGAUACUUUGAAAAACCUGUAUCCUGCUACAUGGUAAGUUUUGUAGGACUGAGAAGUUUGGCCAGUUACACUCCCUUACAAUGUUCCUUUUGGUUAGAUCAUUUAUGGAUUUUUAAAUUCUUUUUCUGAUGAUUAGAAUACUCUGAUACAGCCUUUAAGUAAUUCUGACAAACAUUUUGUUUAAAAAUAUUAAUUUCUUCAAUAUUUCCAAAAAUUUUGGCAGUUAUAUUGUAUCACUAUUACAUUUCUCAUUUCCAUCACUGCCAUUAUUUAAUUCCUGUUCUCAUUUGAUAUUUUGAAUCAUGUCAUUUUCUUAAUUAAAUUUUGCUAAAAUGAGCAUAUUUUACUAAUAUUUUUUCAAGGUAGCUUUAUUUUUAUAGAUCAAAUCUGAACUUUGUCCACUUUGUAUUUUUUCUUUAUCUAUUGUAACUUUUAUUAACUUCAUUUCUAUUUUUUGAGUUGAUCUUAAUCAUCUUAAUCUAGUUUCCUAUUUUCAACUCAGUUAGCUUAAUAGGUAUCAUUUUUUCAAAUAGAUAUCUACAAUUUCAUUUUAUAAAAAUAUUAUUGUAUUAAUGACUACAUAGUUAACAAUUAACAAUGGAAAUUUCUACCUCCUCUGUAUUUUUCCCACUCUAGUUCUAUUCUUUACAAAAAAUCACUUUUCAACUUCUUAGCACUUGCUUCUCAUAUUUUUCAGUUGAUAUAUCUGUAUUUACUAAAUUGUACUGCUUUUUUAUCAUAAGCAUAACUAGUUUCUUCCAGAAGCUGAAACACAAUCUGAUCAUCUAUAAUAUUCUGUUUCCUGAUGUUGGCUUUCUUGGAGUCCUUUGUCACCCUGCAUGCUCCAGAUGGGCAAAGGACUAACAUUUUAGCCUUUACAGUGACAUGGAUGGAACUGGAGGUCAUUAACUUACUUAUACAUGAAGUCUAAAAACUAGGCGAUUUCACAAAAGUUAAAAUAUAAUAGUGGUUACCAGACUCUCAGGAGGGAAGUAGAUAGGGAGUGAUAGGGAAAUUUGAUGGGUGCUUGGUAAUAAAUUGAUAGUAGUUAGAAGUUCUGAAGUUCUA
ensembl:lncRNA